rnacentral:rRNA from 1 species
AUUGAACGCUGGCGGCAGGCCUAACACAUGCAAGUCGAACGGUAACAGGAAGAAGCUUGCUUCUUUGCUGACGAGUGGCGGACGGGUGAGUAAUGUCUGGGAAACUGCCUGAUGGAGGGGGAUAACUACUGGAAACGGUAGCUAAUACCGCAUAACGUCGCAAGACCAAAGAGGGGGACCUUCGGGCCUCUUGCCAUCGGAUGUGCCCAGAUGGGAUUAGCUAGUAGGUGGGGUAACGGCUCACCUAGGCGACGAUCCCUAGCUGGUCUGAGAGGAUGACCCGCCACACUGGAACUGAGACACGGUCCAGACUCCUACGGGAGGCAGCAGUGGGGAAUAUUGCACAAUGGGCGCAAGCCUGAUGCAGCCAUGCCGCGUGCAUGAAGAAGGCCUUCGGGUUGUAAAGUACUUUCAGCGGGGAGGAAGGGAGUAAAGUUAAUACCUUUGCUCAUUGACGUUACCCGCAGAAGAAGCACCGGCUAACUCCGUG